AAGUCGUAACAAGGUUUCCGUAGGUGAACCUGCGGAAGGAUCAUUAUUGAAUAUUCCUGAUGAGUUGUAGCUGGCUCUUUGGAGCAUGUGCACGCUUGUCUUGAUCUUAUUCAUCCACCUGUGCACAUUUUGUAGUCUUUUGGGCUGAGUCGAGUAUCGGAUGGAUGUCUAUCCGGAUGUGAGGACUGCUGAGUGCGAAAGCAUACGGCUCUUCUCUGUUUGACCUCACCCUUGAGUACUAUGUAUUCAUAUACCACAUAGUAUGUUGUAGAAUGUGAUCAUUGGGCCUUUGUGCCUAUAAUAAUCAUAUACAACUUUCAACAACGGAUCUCUUGGUUCUG
rnacentral:misc_RNA from 1 species